AGGACAUGGGAAGUUUAUCUCGAAUGGAAUACAAAAACUAUAUUUUUAUUUUUGUACUUUUUACUUGCCAUCUCCUGCUCCUUACUACAUGAUACUAUUUUUACAAAGAAGAAUUUUCAUGUAACGUCAGCAUUCUUGAUUUGGGCCAUCUAACAAUCAAAUUUUAUAAGGGCUGUUAAACUGGAACUUAAAUAUUGACUGUCUAUCACAUAUCAUGUAUCUUUCUACAUGUUCUACAAUUGCUUAAGAUAUCAAAAUGACAUCCCUUAUUUCUUUAAUACCAAAUAGAUAAAAAAAAACUAUUUUUUGGAUUAAGCUGUAUUGGUAUGAAUUUCUACCAUUUUCAUUUAUUUCACCAAAUAAUAUGUAGGGCUUUAAAUAAAGGCAUAACACACAUUACCAUAUAAAUCAA
rnacentral:lncRNA from 1 species